GCGCUUGCUUUGGCAGCACAUAUACUAAAAUUGGAAUGAUGCAGAGAAGAUUACCUGGCCCCUGCACAAGGAUGACAUGCAAAUUCAUAAAUUGUUCCCUAUUUUU
rnacentral:snRNA from 1 species